rnacentral:lncRNA from 1 species
UUAUUAUCCCAAACACUGUCCUUAACGAAAAAAUUAUCUUUUGUUAUCCACUUUGAGCCUAUUUAGCUUUUAUUCUUUAACCGGAUGAUAGGGGGUGAUGAAGUAUAUGGGGAUCUUUGUGUGGUGAAUAUUCAUAGUGGGUUGUGAAAAAAAAAGGGAUGCAUUUGUGUUACUAUUUACUCUUAUAAGCUCUAGAAAAGUUGUGGAAAGAAAAAAAAAGUUGUUAGAAGAAAAAAAAGGAAAAAAAAGUGAAGUCGAGUGUACAUUGAGAAAUUUGUUAGAAAAUCGACUUUGUUUGUUGGAAAUAAAUGGAGAGCAUAAAAGAGUGUUUAGUUUUGUAUGGUGAUGAUUAAAUCCCUUGAGUUGUGUUGUUUAUGGUGACAUAGUUGGGUGGAAGAUGGAAUUUAUUCCAUAUUUGAUUAGUGAAGUCAUAAGGUUGGUGUUCUUGAUCUAUUUGAGUCACUUAGCCUAUAUUUCCCUACCUUAACCAAUGUCCCUACAUUAUAACCCGAAGAAAAAGACCUUUUUGAUCUUAGUCCUGGCACACUUUUAGCGAUGGAGAUUGUAGACGAUUGGCAAGCUUAUGGUAAGUGAUCUACAUUGUAUUGAAUUCGAUGAGAGCAUACACGUCCUAUCUAUUCCAUCAAAUUGAGAGUUGAGUGAUACACAUNGAAUGAAUAUUCAUUAGUGGGUUGUGAAAAAGAAGGGAUGAUUUUGUGUACUUUUUACUUUUUACUUAGUUAAGUGGUAGUAAAAGAAAAAGUAAAAGAAAGAAAGAAAAAAAAAGAAAAAGAAAAAGAAAGAGAAAAGAAAAAAAUAUAAAGUCGAAUGUUUAUUGAGAAAUUUGUUAGAAAAUCGACUUUGUUUGUUGGAAAUAAAUGGAGAGCAUAAAAGAGUGUUUAGUUUUAUAUUUUGAUGAUUUAAUCCCUUGAAUUGUGCUGUUUAUGGUGGCAUAGUUAGGUGGAAGAUGGAAUUUAUUCCAUAUUUGAUUUGUGAAGUUAUAAGGUUGGUGUUCUUGAUCUAUUUGAGUCACUUAGCCUAUAUUUCCCUACCUUAACCAAUGUCCCUACAUUAUAACCCGAAGAAAAAGACCUUUUUGAUCUUAGUCCUG